AAGACCUGGGGUUUUAGACCUCUGUCUUCUUCUUCUCUUCUCUCGCUCGGAAUUUAUGUUCACUAGCUCGGCGCACUCGCCCUCCCUGUUCAGCUAGAUCUCUGACCAGUUAGGCAUUUCAAGUUUCAUGGAAGACCAUAAUCACUAGAGCUACCGUUUACAUAUGUAUCCAAAGCAUUCUAGUCAAGGUGAUGGGCCUGUUCCUAGGCCAGUACGAACAAGUGAUAGGCUCAGGAGGAGGCCAAAAGUUUUUAGUCGGACAUACUUGUAUUACACUCCGACCAUCAUCAGCAGUAGGAAAACUAAAACUAAGACGAGGACAGAUGCUUCUCGAAUUGCCAAGAUGUUGUGUCCAUCAAAUCGGCCAACACGGAACCCAAAUAAUAAUUCAGUUGCGACCAAUCUUCGACGCUCGACCAGAAAGAGGAGGAUUUCUGUAAAUCUUGAAGAUUUUACAGACAGUUCCGGAUCAGAAGAUGAAGACUUGAUGAAACCAACUUGCCGAACCUUGAGGAACCGGAUUGAUAAUAGUGUCAGUCAGGAUGAGUUAUCAUCUCCUAAGCAUAAGAAGACUAUGGAUACCAGAUCAACCCCUCGACGUGAAGGACUACGGCCACGCCGUUCAAAAACAGUAGCAAGAGAACAAUUGAAUUUGGAAUCUGGUGAUGAACAAGAAAAUUUUGAAAAGCUUGUUGAGGAUGAAACUGAAAAUGGGAAUGAAAUCGAUGAUAAUGAUGCAGAUGAUGGUCAGAAUGAUGAUGAAACUGAGGAUGAGGGUGAUGGAGAUGGCGAAGAUGAAGGAGAGGAAGAUGGUGAUGAUGAAGAAGGUGAAGAGGAAGAACAGGAGGGAAGGAGGAGAUAUGAUCUCCGAAAUCGUGCUGAUGUCCGUAGGCUUUCUAUGGAAGAAGCUAAGCAAAGACCAAGAUCUCCUCAAAGGGUAUUGCAUCAAGGAAUAGGUACCAAGGUUAAUAGGGAUGUAAGGAAGGGUGGAUCACGAGUUGACAAGCGUCAUCGUAUAACAAGAGCUGAAGAUUCUGAUGAUUCCCUUCUUGUGGAUGAGCUGGACCAGGGUCCUGCUAUUCCUUGGUCACGAGGAGGGAGUAGAUCUGGUCCGCCUUGGCUCUUUGGGGGACUAGAUGUCCAUGGGACAACAGCAUGGGGACUGAAUGUGGCUGCAUCUGGUUGGGGUCAUCAGGGUGAUACAAUUCCUACAUUAACUUCUGGGAUCCAAACUGCUGGGCCAAGCUCUAAGGGAGGGGCAGAUAUCCAACCUUUACAAGUUGAUGAGAGUGUAAGUUUUGAUGAGAUAGGUGGGCUUUCAGAAUACAUUGAUGCUUUGAAGGAGAUGGUUUUCUUUCCUUUGCUAUAUUCGGAUUUCUUUGCCAGCUAUCACAUCACCCCACCAAGGGGAGUUUUGUUAUGUGGUCCUCCUGGCACUGGCAAAACAUUGAUUGCCAGGGCAUUAGCUUCUGCUGCUUCAAAAGCUGGUCAGAAGGUUAGUUUUUACAUGCGUAAGGGCGCAGAUGUACUUAGUAAAUGGGUAGGUGAGGCUGAAAGACAAUUGAAAUUGCUUUUUGAGGAGGCACAAAGGAAUCAGCCUUCCAUAAUCUUUUUUGAUGAAAUAGAUGGACUUGCUCCUGUGAGGUCAAGCAAACAGGAGCAAAUACACAAUUCUAUUGUUUCCACUUUGCUUGCGUUGAUGGAUGGUCUAGAUUCUCGUGGACAAGUUGUUUUGAUUGGAGCAACCAACAGAGUUGAUGCCAUUGAUGGAGCCUUGCGUCGCCCUGGUCGGUUUGAUCGUGAAUUUAACUUUCCUUUGCCUGGUUGUGAGGCACGUGCUGAAAUACUAGAUAUUCACACCCGAAAAUGGAAGCAGCCUCCUUCAAAGGAACUAAAAUUGGAACUUGCAGCUAGAUGUGUUGGAUAUUGUGGUGCUGAUUUAAAGGCACUAUGCACUGAAGCUGCCAUCCGUGCUUUUCGUGAAAAAUAUCCUCAAGUGUACACAAGUGAUGAUAAGUUUCUGAUUGAUGUUGACUCGGUCAUGGUUGAAAAGUAUCAUUUUGUUGAAGCCAUGUCCACAAUAACCCCUGCUGCUCACAGGGGUGCUGUUGUGCACUCUAGGCCAUUAUCUUUAGUAGUUGCACCAUGUCUGCAAAGACAUCUCCAGAAAGCCAUGAAUUUUAUUUCCGAUAUAUUUUCCCUCCUUGCAGUGUCAUCGGAGUUUACCAAGCUUUCUAUGCUUUCCUAUGGGUCUGCAAUUCCUCUUGUGUACAGGCCACGGCUUUUGCUGUCUGGUGGUGAAGGUUCUGGCCUGGAUCAUCUUGGGCCUGCAAUUUUACAUGAACUGGAGAAAUUUGCAGUUCAUUCUCUUGGACUUCCAUCUCUUCUUUCAGAUCCUAGUGCAAAGACACCAGAGGAAGCAUUGGUACAUAUAUUUGGUGAAGCGAGAAGAACAACGCCUUCAAUCCUUUAUAUGCCUCACUUCAAUCUUUGGUGGGAUAAUGCACAUGAACAGCUAAGGGCUGUUCUGUUGACUCUGUUAGAUGAAUUGCCAUCUGACUUGCCCAUAUUGUUGCUUGGAACUACUACAGAACUACCCAUGGGCAAUGAGACUCAGCCAUUUCCAGUAUUUCCUCAACAUUCCAUCUAUCAAGUGGGCAUACCAUCAGUUGAAGACAGAUCUUUGUUUUUCGACCGUUUAAUUGAAGCUGCUUUAUCAGUUCUGUUAGAGGGCAUAACCAAGAAGUCACAAGGAUCAGUAUCCCUUCCUGAUCUUCCCAAGGUACCAAAAGUGACAAGUGGCCCAAAGGCCUCUGAGUUAAAAGCCAAGAUAGAGGCUGAGCAGCAUGCCCUUCGUCGAAUGCGUAUGUGCCUCAGAGAUAUUUGCAAUCGGAUACUGUAUGACAAACGAUUUAGUGCCUUCCACUAUCCCGUCACAGACGAAGAUGCUCCAAAUUAUCGCUCAAUAAUCCAGAAUCCUAUGGACAUGGCUACUCUACUGCAGCGUGUUGACUCUUGUCAGUAUAUCACGUGCUCAGCAUUCUUGCAAGACAUUGAUCUCAUCGUGACCAAUGCAAAGAUGUAUAAUGGAGAUGAUUACAAUGGUGCCAGGAUUGUUAGUAGGGGUUAUGAGCUUCGAGAUGCAGUGCAUGGAAUGCUGUCACAGAUGGACCCUGCACUUGUUGCAUACUGUGACAAGAUUGCUGCCCAAGGGGGCCCAGUUCAUGUACCAGAUGAUUUUGGGGGAUCUAUUUUCCCAUCAACCCCAGUUGUGCAGCUGACAACUGUUACUAGAGCAAGUGCCCGACUACGUAAUGCACAGCCAGAGGUUAAUCUGGAUCAAAGCUAUGAGGCUUUGAAAAGGCAGAAGAAAAACUUUGAUGUUGCAAGUGCAGGGAUGAGGCAGGGAAGGCGACCUAAAUCAUCCCCGCCCUUUGACACAUGGUGGGACAGGGAUUUGGCACCUGGUUGGGUGGAAAUUGCCAUCUCUAUAGAAAUCCCUGCCAGUAAAUUUAAGCUACCUCGAGAAAAAGGAUGCUGCAAUAUUCUUAGUUGGAGGUGGCUGUUAUAUUAUGUCCUUUGGCUGUUCCAUGAUUCAAGCCAAUCUUUUGUAUUAUUUAAAUUUUAGGUUUGAUACUGACAAUGAACACUGAAGCUAGAUACCCUCGCCAUGUAUGAAUUGAACCCAGCACUCCAUGCUGAAUCCAACAUUUACUGGAUACAUUUUGGUGGAUUAGCCCAUUUGAAGUUUUGAAUGAUAUUUAAUUGUGAGUUAUUUAUAUUUUGAUGAAUAAUGUGAACCUUUGAUCGCUUUAUGCUUUGAUGAAAAUAGCUUUGGCAGCAGAAGAUAAAUCCCAGCAUCAAGACGCAGCACAGGCAAAGCCAUCAGAAGAGCCAGAGGCUAAUGAAAUGGAUCCUGAAAGGCCAGAAUCCUCAUCUGCUGAUGGCAAUAGGCCGGAAACUUCCAGGCAAGCAGAAGCAGAAGCAGAAGCAAGCGGAUCCCUAGACGCUACUAUGUUCGACGCUGAAAUGUCAACCCAUGCAGAGCAUGUCAAGGGUCUUUUUGUGGAGCGCACAGAAAAUUAUGGCAUUCCACAGCUUGAGAGGCUCUACACGCGUAUAAUGAAGGGUGUAUUUGAAACCAAGAACAAAGAAAAGGUUGAAGACGAUCCCAAGUACUCAAUUUUGAAGUUUUUGGUGAAAUUUGCCGGGGAUGAGGCAAAUUUCUGAACUGGGUAUUCCCCCCCAAACGAGAGAAAAAAUGAAAAAAAAAAAAAAAA
rnacentral:misc_RNA from 1 species